UUCGCGGUGCUGAUUGGCUGAGUAAUACCGUGAUAGAGCGAAACCAACGGCAGAUGUUCCAGAAUUCUCCUGAGAUUGAUCAUUGAGCUUUAUCUCCUGAGCAAUUCUUGAGCAUUACGAGCACUACUGACUCUCCACUGCACAAUAUCCAG